UUAGAGCAACAUAUUUUAGGUAUUUUUAUUUUGGUAUAAUGAACAUACCAUGAAAUGUACCCUUUUACCCCCUUUUAAGUGUACAAUGGGCCAGGCACGACAGUGCAUGCCUGUAAACCCAGCACUCAGGAGGCUGAGACAAGAGGAUGGCCAUGAGUUUGAGGCCAGCCUGGGCUAUGAAGUGAGUUGGAGGCCAGCCAGAACUGCGGAACUGCAUAAUGAAACCCUGUCUUGAAAAGACCAAAAACAAAACAAACAAACAAACAAAAACCUCACCCAACUGGCCAUCAAACAGUGCAAUGCAGUGCUAUUAAUCACGUAGACACUGUGCAACCAUUAACAGUAUCCAUCCAGACUGUGCAAAUAAUUUUCAGAGGAAGUCUGGAGAAAUCUCUGGCGCCAUCCUUCCUGUCUGUUCCUUUAAGAGUCACCUGUUACCUUCGAGCAGUAGACAGCAGGGUUGGUAAAAUGGGUUGAACAGUAGGAGGAGGAGGUGCCACGCUGUGAGCUGACUGCAGUCAUCUGUACCGAGCCUGGCGCCUGGGAAGAGGGAACAGAUCGAGCAGCCCUGUUCACCAUCUGGCGUGUUGACUCCUAAGACCCUGGGCACACUGGGCAGCCGCACUGAGGCUGAUCAGCGCUGGUCAGGCAGCGGUCCCCACCUUUUGGGGCACUGAGAAAGUUGGUGCAGGACUCGGAACAGAAAGGGAAGAUGGACCCAGGCAGUAUGAGGAAAGACUUGCCCGUCCCUCCUGGUCAGAGCCAGGAGACACUGUAUGUGUGUCCCCUGCCUGGGUCCGGGCUGGACAGGGCUGGGAGCUACGGUGUGUGGUACUUCCCACAGCCGGCCAAGAAGCAAACCCACGUAUCUGCACCACUUUGGAAAUGGGAGAAAAAAUAAAACGAACACAAUAAAGCAAAGUGAGGGACACUUUGCUUUCCUUUUUUGCA